rnacentral:rRNA from 1 species
UGCAGAGGUCCCGAGCGUUGUUCGGAUUCACUGGGCGUAAAGGGUGCGUAGGUGGCAUGAUAAGUUUGAUGUGAAAUCUCCGGGCUCAACCCGGAAAAUGCAUUGAAUACUAUCAGGCUGGAGGUUUGGAGGGGGGACUGGAAUUCUCGGUGUAGCAGUGAAAUGCGUAGAUAUCGAGAGGAACACCAGUGGCGAAGGCGAGUCCCUGGACAACACCUGACACUGAGGCACGAAAGCUAGGGGAGCAAACAGG